CUCAUUUUAUGUCAUAGGGUGUGAUGUUCUCCAUUUAAAGGACUUUGGUUUUUCAAACCCCCAAAAUGGGCAUUAUUCAUUCAAAAAUGAAGUCUACUUAAAUGGCCAAACUGUCUAUAUAUAUGACAGCAAGAGUAAGAGGGCAGUGCCCCAGCCAGAAUGGCAAAAUGUGGAGAAUUGGAAUGAGGUAAGCCAGCUUCAGAAAGAGAGAGAAGAGUUGAUCAUGAAGGACUUGGAAGAAAUCAGAAACCUUAAUACAGAUAAUACAGGCAUCUACACUACCAGUCAAACUGUGGCUUGUCAACUUUGUUCAAACGAUGCUUUCAGGAUGCGUGGAUAUAGUUUGGUUGAUGGAAAGGAAUUCAGUAAGAACUCCAAGAGAAUAUUCACUCUGGCCACACAAGACCCUGCAGCUGAAAUGAUGAAACAUCAGUCGAAGCAAGACCCAAUGUUCCAUGGAUAUCAGGAGAAAAAAUGUAUUGAAAUACUCCAAAAAUACCGGAAUUAUAGGGACGCUCAUUAGGACAAGCCAGAUGGUCAGGGGUGAGGGGAACUUAGGAACAGUGUUCCCUCUCCACCCAAUAAGAGGAAAAUGAGCAGCUGUGAAGAUUUUCACCACCCUGAUGACCUCCCACCACUAUACUCUUAAUUACCAGUUUCCAGUCAUUGGAUUUCCAGUCAAGAGAAUUAUAUAGAUCCUGAUCCUUCCCUGGGAGAGCUUACAAUAUGAGAGAAAUAACAUUAAGAUGAACAAGGAAAUAUCAUUAUAAAAUGAAAUAAAAGUCAUAUAGCAUUG